GACGAACGCUGGCGGCGUGCCUAAUACAUGCAAGUAGAACGCUGAAGGAGGAGCUUGCUUCUCCGGAUGAGUUGCGAACGGGUGAGUAACGCGUAGGUAACCUGCCUGGUAGCGGGGGAUAACUAUUGGAAACGAUAGCUAAUACCGCAUAAUAGCAGUUGUUGCAUGACAACUGUUUGAAAGGUGCAAUUGCACCACUACCAGAUGGACCUGCGUUGUAUUAGCUAGUUGGUGGGGUAACGGCUCACCAAGGCGACGAUACAUAGCCGACCUGAGAGGGUGGUCGGCCACACUGGGACUGAGACACGGCCCAGACUCCUACGGGAGGCAGCAGUAGGGAAUCUUCGGGAAUGGACGGAAGACUGACCGAGCAACGCCGCGGGAGUGAAGAAGGUUUUCGGAUCGUAGAGGUCGGUUGUAAGAGAAGAACGAGUGUGAGAGUGGAAAGUUCACACUGUGACGGUAUCUUACCAGAAAGGGACGGCUAACUACGUG
rnacentral:rRNA from 1 species